rnacentral:lncRNA from 1 species
ACAAUGACAUAUUUGGUGGGGAUUGGCAGCCAACAAUAUGAUUGGAUUGGGACUAAAUCAAAGAAUAAAACGAUAUUGAAAUGAAUAUUAUUAACAAAUAUUUCCCAGAAGAUUUUGGGUUCAACCUAAGGCUGACUAGGACAGAUCAAUCAACUUGAUCCGACACAGUAAGCCUACAUGUCAUACGUAAGUAAAUCCACAAGAGAGACAAUAUUGCAAAGGCAGGACCAUGUUCGAUGGAAGGCGUAGGGGUAGGCAAUCGAAAACGUUUGACGGGGUGAAAUUUCUGUCAAUAUUAGCUAGUCCUACUGACGUGGGCAAGUAACCUUUCCCGCGCUCUUCCUAAAAAUACUAUUUGUGAUGUCAUAAAGGUCUAAUGUUCCAUGACGUAGCAUGUAGCCCUAAAUUACAGUCCCUGCUUGCAAUAUUGUCCUCACUCUCGACCUGAACUCAACUUGAAUGUAACCAACACAGACAAGGACAUGCUUUUUGAGAUAUAAAAUAGCUUGAAUGGAUGAAGAAAGGGUAAGCUAAAUUACUUCAUACAAUAUUGGGGGAAAGUAAAAAAGGGUAAAGCAAUAUAAGCGGAUAUUUCUUGUAAAAAGCUAUAACAUAUUGUAAAGCAAAUGUACCAUUCUUUAUAAAGUCACCAGCUUAGCUCUGAUAUGGCUGUAGCUCUAUUUAUGAUGUCCUCUGCACAGAUCUACUCUGACAUUGACAUAUUAUUACUUAUUGGAAUGUCUGUCCUUCAGGUAGCACAGAGGGAGGAUGGUGAUCCUCAGAGGGAAGGAAAGGAAGUUGUUGAGGAAGAACGGUGGCCACGCCCAAAGAGGAGGCCAAGAAGGGAAGGAAGGCAAAAAGUAAGAGGAGUGGCAAGAAGUCAAGGAAGCUGGGCACUGACAACGAUGCAGGUCAGAGAUUUUACCUCUGUAGUACUACAUUGUUUCUCUAUUCUGCCUGUGAUGUGCAGGUUGUAUUAUCCAUUUCAAUGAAACUGUAGUCUACUGUAAUCAGUAAGAAAGGUCACAUAGAUAGCUUUAUUAAAAUAGGCCUAUUCUAAAACCCUUAAACAAUGAAAUCAGAGUAUUAAGAGAUAAACGUCUGAUUUCUCUUUAAUUUUGUUUCUACUUCCUCUACGCAAUCACAUCUUAGUCUCCAGGAAUAAACACCUGGAUAGAGGAUCUGUAAUUGAGCUCCUGGAGAAGAAAGCUGUUCAGGCUGCAUUUCGGCCCAGGCAACAAGGAUGAGAUGGAAUACUCCUACCCAAUCCUCAUCUCAUUCCUGCGCAAUCUUACUGAUGAGUAUGUUAAAAGUUUUCCUGUAAUGUUCAACAUUUAUGAAAUAUUGUGCAGUGGGAACUAAACACUAACUAAAACCCUUAUUUUAAAUGUCUAGGCAGUGGCAAGUGAUCUACAAAGGACUAAAAAACCCUGUAAGUUUUCCUACCUGCCUUUGACCUUUGAUGUGUCAAUGAUCUGUUGAAUUCAGAGAUUAGCCAUCAAGUCAUAUUCUGUUAUUCAUGUUCUCUGUCAGACUUCAUCAAACUUUGAAUUCAGUCACAGACAAGAAUAACAAUGUUGAUCAAAUGCAUUCUGUUCGAUCUAGAAUACUUUACAUCACAGUUCCAUUGAAAAUACUGUUUUUGUUAUGUUUGUUCAAAUCAGAUGACGAAGGAACAGCUUGCCAAAUUGUGCAAGACAAUUGUAACCUUCAUCGCACAGACCACCCUGCAGAUCCUGCUGCCAGCCCUGGCCCGCGUACUUGGGGUAAAGGACUUUGCUGACGACGACACUGACUCACCCAAGAGGGGUGGCAGUGCAAGAUCCUUUGAUGCCUUUGAUCAGGAAAGACUGGAGCUCAUCCAGGAAGUUAGAUAUCUGGCGAAGAAAAUGUAUAAGGGCGGCACAGGGCUCAACAUCUCAGGUCCCUAACACCCUCUUCUAAGAGGUAUGUUCCCCUCAAGGUUUUCAUGUAUGGAUUUCACCGAGAUCAUCUAUCCCAGUGUUAGCCAAUGCAAUUUACUCUAUCUGAUGUAGUUACAACAUGUAAUGUAUCAGCCUUUGAGCAUAUUCAAAUGAAUGAGCAUGUAAAGCGAUCAAAAGGACAUGUAGAUAUUUAGAAUACUAAAAUUACAACGCUUGACCGAUUUGCCAAGUUAAGACAGGAAUUAUCAUGCUUUGCUUGUUCGUUUUAAAGUUCCCAGACCUCAGUGAAGUCCUCCUGGGAAUGACAGAGGACAGAAUCAUCAAAAGUGUCCAGGAGCAACUGUCUGAUCAUA